CAGAGGGUGCAAGCGUUAAUCGGAAUUACUGGGCGUAAAGCGUGCGUAGUCGGUUAUUUAAGUCGGAUGUGAAAUCCCCGGGCUCAACCUGGGAAUUGCAUUCGAUACUGGAUAGCUAGAGUUCGGCAGAGGGAAGCGGAAUUUCGGGUGUAGCGGUGAAAUGCGUAGAUAUCCGAAGGAACAUCAGUGGCGAAGGCGGCUUCCUGGACCAGAACUGACGAUCAGGCACGAAAGCGUGGGGAGCAAACAGGAUUAGAUACCCUGGUAGUCCACGCCAUAAACGAUGACAACUAGACGUUGGGGACAUAUGGUCCACAGUGUCGCAGCUAACGCGUUAAGUUGUCCGCCUGGGGAGUACGGCCGCAAGGUUG
rnacentral:rRNA from 1 species